rnacentral:antisense_RNA from 1 species
CUUGAUGGAGCCGAGCAGCAGGGGCUGUCCCUCGGGCCGCUCCUGGCCGUAGGUGGCGAGCAGCGCCUGCGCCUC